CAUGCCGGCGGUCAAGCUGAAAGUGAACUGCAGCCAGAGCUUCCGUAAUUACAAAAUGCAACCAUCUCAGGAGCAAGCAACCGGACCGUGUACCUAUCACUUAGCUGUGAUGACGAGGACAGGAGUCGGCCACUCAAAUGGGACUUGAGACAAUGUUUCGAUGAUCAAGCAAACCAGGCUAUAAAUAGAGAAUUGUUUGAGGAUGUCCGCAGCACAGACAAUGAGACUUUAUCAAAAACAUUUAAAGCUGCAAUGCGUGUUUAUAUUAGAACAAAGAAGAGAGAUUUCUUGAAUCGUGCCAAUAACAAGCAAAAUGAUAUCCUGAUGAGGCAAAGAAAAAGGAGCAGGCUCAACCCUAAAAAAAACAUGAGGAAAAGAACUCUAGAAAAGUCAACCAUCUAUACAGCAGAACUAAAAUCAAAGUAUGGAGCUGUGUUGCCACUGGAGUACCUAUCAUCAUAGCACACUGCCACAGACCAGGAAAAUGACAAUUUGGAUCCUGACAGUGAUGAUGAGCCUUCAGGGCCAAAGGUUUUGGUUAAAACCUGGCGGAGCCGAGAAAUUAACGAGCUUAUGGAGGCCCUUGACAGAAGGGUAAAGUGGCACCAGGGCCAGAAAGGCCAAAGCAUGUUAAUUGAGAGAUGAGAAGGUGCCAUUUCUGCUAGAACUGCACCUGUUGAUGCGUCAAAUUGGGCAAUACGUAGAGGAGGUGCACUGCAUUUCUAAAUUCAAACAAUAAAGAAUGAUUACAUUUACAAAUAAUUACAUUGAUUUCAAAAAACUGUUCUGCGCUGAAUUCGACAACAUUGUUUCCAGCAUGAUUGAAAUUUGUAAAUUACAACAAUUCACCCUCUAGUUUUUAUUUAAAACAACUAAAGAUGAUUUGAUUGAACUUUGUUUCCAUAAAUACUUUAAGGGCUGGCUUUCGAAAUAAAAACUAGAAAGAUAAAUUGUGGAAAUUAUAAACUUCUGCCAUGCUGAAGCUCAAUGACCUGUAAUACAUCAAUUGAAUAACAUGAGUUGAUCAUAUUUUACAAGCAUAUUAUGUAAUUAUAAUUUUACAUGUUCCUGUUCUUUGCAUUGCAUUUAAUUGAAAAUUUAUAUAAAGCCAUGAUAAUAUAUAUUCUACAAAAGGCUAUUUUUAUAUUUGUGUUACAUUUCUUUUUCGUACAAGUACUAGUACGCACUUUCAUGUAUUAGGAUUAACCAAUAUUUCACACUAUUCUUUAAAGUAUUAUAUUUUUAAAAUGUUGUAUGAUAAAUAAAGAAUCGUUGUUAUGAAGAUCCA